rnacentral:rRNA from 1 species
GAUGAACGCUAGCUACAGGCCUAACACAUGCAAGUCGCGCGGCAGCAUGGGGUUUGCUUGCCACCCCUGAUGGCGACCGGCGCACGGGUGAGUAACGCGUAUCCUACCUGCCCUUCACCACGGGCUAACCCGGCGAAAGUCUGCCUAAUACCGAUUGUUGUCCAUUGACGGCGUCCGAGUUGGACUAGCUGCUUGGCGGUGUAAGGGUGGGGAUGCGUCCGGUUCGAUUGCCGGUGGGGUAACGGCCCAACGGGGCUACGAACGGUAGGGGUUCGGAGAGGAAGGUCCCCGACACGUGAACUGGGACACGGACAAGACGCCUACGGGAGGGAGCAGUGAGGAAUAUUGGGCAAUGGGGGGAAGCCUGAAACAGCCAAGUAGCGUGCAAGAGGACGGCCCUAUGGGUUGUAAACUGCUUUUAUGCGGGGAUAGAGUGGCUCACGGGGGGGCUUUUGAAGGUACCGCAUGAAUAAGGACCGGCUAAUUCCGUG